GGUUGGAUUCUGCUCAGAUUGAACGCUGGCGGAUGCUUUACACAUGCAAGUCGAACGGCAGUAUCUGACUUCUGGUCUGGUGGCGAGUGGCGAACGGGUAGUACGUAUCGGAACGUGUGCUUAUAGAAGCGGGGGAUAAUCACGCUGAGCGGUAGCUAAUACCGCAGCACACCCUUCGGGGGAAAGCGGGGGACCUUCGGGCCUCGCAAUUAUUAGAUGGCUGAUAUCGGAUUAGCUAGUUGGUGGGGUGAACGGCUCAUCAAGGUUGACGAUCCGUAGCUGGUUUGAGAGGACGACCAGCCACACUGACUGGGACAGGCCUGACUUUACGGGAGGCACAGUGGGGAAUUUUGGACAAUGGGGAAACUCCUGAUCCAGCCAUCCUGGCGCGAUGAAGGCCUUCGGGUUGUAAAGACUUUUGCAGAAAGAAAUGGCACGUGGGGAUAAUACUCCGUGCAACUGACGGUGUACCUGCAGAAUAGAAGGGUCUACAACUACGUGCCAGCAGCCGCGGUAAUAUGUAGGGUGCAAGCGUUAAUCGAAUUACUGGGCGCAAGCGUGCGCAGGCGGUUCGGAAAGAAAGAUGUAAAUCCCAGAGCUCAACUUUGGAACUGCAUUUUUAACUACCGAGCUAGAGUGUCAGAGGAGGUGGAAUUCAUGUAGCAGUAACGUAGAUAUGCGGAGGAACACCGAUGGCGGAAGGCAGCCUCCUGAUAACACUGACGCUCAUGCACGAAAGCGUGGGGAGCAAACAGGAUUAGAUACCCUGAGAAAUCCACGCCCUAAACGAUGCCAACUAGCUGUUGGGGCCUUCGCCUUUGGUAGCGCAGCUAACGCGUGAAGUUGACCGCCUGGGGAGUACGGUCGCAAGAUUAAAAAUCCAAAGGAAUUGACGGGGCACCGCACAAGCGUGCGGAUGAUGAUUAAUUCGAUGCAAUGCGAAAAACUCAUCUACCCUUGACAUGUCUGGAAUCCCGAAGAGAUUUGGGAGUGCUCGCAAGAGAACCGGAACACAGGUGCUGCAUGGCUGUCGUCAGCUCGUGUCGUGAGAUGUUGGGUUAAGUCCCGCAACGAGCGCAACCCUUGUCAUUAUUGCUACUGGAAAGGGGCACUCGACGAGACUGCUGGUGACAAACCGGAGGAAGGUGGGGAUGACGUCAAGUCCUCAUGGCCCUUAUGGGUAGGGCUUCACACGUCAUACAAUGGUCGGGACAGAGGGUCGCCAACCCGGCGAGGGGGAGCCAAUCCCAGAAACCCGAUCGUAGGUCCGGAUCGCAGUCUGCAACUCGACUGCGUGAAGUCGGAAUCGCUAGUAAUCGCGAUCAGCAUGUCGCGGUGAAUACGUUCCCGGGUCUUGUACACACCGCCCGUCACACCAUGGGAGUGGGCUUGACGGUGGGAAGUGUUAUGUCAAAUCGUAAGGAGGGCGAUUACCACGGUAGGAUUCAUGACUGGGGUGAAGUCGAAUAGCGUAA
rnacentral:rRNA from 1 species